UUAUUGGUGGUCCAGUGGUUAAGACUCUGCACUCUGAAUGCACGGGGCCCCAGUUCAAUCCCUGGUCAGGAAA
rnacentral:tRNA from 1 species